CGAAGACUCAUCCAAGGAGUCGUUGGCCAAGACCCGACGGUGGUAUUCUAGAUCUCAGUACACUGGAUUCUGAAUGGGACUGGGGCUGACGUUAUUUUACCUGAUGUGUUUGUUCUGCUGGUGGUGCUCAUCAAGCUCUCAA